UGGGGAAUAUUGCACAAUGGGCGAAAGCCUGAUGCAGCAACGCCGCGUGAGUGAUGACGGCCUUCGGGUUGUAAAGCUCUGUCUUCAGGGACGAUAAUGACGGUACCUGAGGAGGAAGCCACGGCUAACUACGUGCCAGCAGCCGCGGUAAUACGUAGGUGGCAAGCGUUGUCCGGAUUUACUGGGCGUAAAGGGAGCGUAGGCGGAUGUUUAAGUGGGAUGUGAAAUACCCGGGCUCAACUUGGGUGCUGCAUUCCAAACUGGAUAUCUAGAGUGCAGGAGAGGAAAGGAGAAUUCCUAGUGUAGCGGUGAAAUGCGUAGAGAUUAGGAAGAAUACCAGUGGCGAAGGCGCCUUUCUGGACUGUAACUGACGCUGAGGCUCGAAAGCGUGGGGAGCAAACA
rnacentral:rRNA from 1 species